CAGCCUCUAUACAUGGUAACAGCUGAUGUACGUGAAGGCCAAUGGAGAAGUGACAGAACCUCGAGCAAGAUUUAACUACCAGCAUGUUACUUCAGCCUCAUCAGUUAAGUUACUUGUACAGUAUAUCUUAGCUAAUAUCUUUAUCCAAUAAACCACUCGACAAUGCUCCUACACUGGGCAGUGGAGGGUGUGUGUGUAGCAGUCCAAUAAAACCAACUUUAUUUGGUCCUUUACGAAUUUGAAUAUACCCUAAAAAUUUUACGUUCUAACAAAGUAACAAAUGCAACAUCCACAAGAACACAAAUAAUUAAAAUUAAAUAACUCACAAAUAUAACUAAAGCCAUCACAAACUGUUUUAUUCAAACAUUUCUGAAUAAAUGUUUAUUACUUAUAGAAAACUCUAUCUAAUUACAUCCUAAAUCUAAUGCAUCACAUCUGCCAAAGUAAUAUAGUUAAUCUACACUUAAAAAUUAUUUUAAUUACUAAAUCCUUUCGUACUAAAGUAAUUUUUGUUUUCUUAAAAGAUAGAAACCAACCUGGCUCACGCCGGUUUGAACUCAAAUCAUGUAAAAAUUUAAAGGUCGAACAGACCUACCUCCACAACUCCUACGCCAUGGCGAAUUUUUAAUUCAACAUCGAGGUCGCAAAUUUUUUGUCGAUAUGAACUCUCAAAAUAAAUAACGCUGUUAUCCCUAAAGUAACUUAAAUUUUUAAUCAACAACAAGGAUCAUUACACACAAAUAUCUCUGUAUUUUAAAUUUAAACAGUUACAAAUUAUAUCAUCGUCGCCCCAACGAAAUAAUUUAGUAUAUAAAUAAUAUUAAACUUUCAACUCAUCUAAUUGUAUACUAAAUUAUUAAGCUUUAUAGGGUCUUAUCGUCCCUUUAAAAUAUUUAAGCCUUUUCACUUAAAAGUCAAAUUCGAUUUUUGUGUUUGAGACAGUUUGCUUCUUGUCCAACCAUUCAUACAAGCCUCCAAUUAAGAGACUAAUGACUAUGCUACCUUCGCACGGUUAAAAUACCGCGGCCCUUUAGUUUGAUCCCAGUGGGCAGGUUAGACUUUAUAAACCAUCAUAUAGACAUGUUUUUGAUAAACAGGCAGAAGCUUUAUUUGCCGAGUUCCUUAACCCACACCAAUCAAUAUUUAAAAUUUAUUAAUUUUUUAAUAUUUUACUAUUUACAAAAUUUUCUACUAAUAAAAUCAUUUUAUCUAUAAAUACAAAGAUUAUCAACAUUUUUAGAUACAACUACAAGAAGAAUAUAAAUAACUUUAACUCAAAAAUUAGUUAAAACACUUUACUCAUAUGGCUACUUCUAAGCCUAAUUCAACUAUUAAAUAAAUUUCUUCUAUACUUUUUUAUAUUUUGAAUAAGAAGCUCAACCCUCCUAUUCUUACAUUUAACUUUCCUUAAAUAUUAAAACUGAAUUAAAUUCAUUUCUCUAAAAACCAGAUAUCAAAGGAAUCGGAAGCGCGUCA